UACAGAGGUCCCGAGCGUUGUUCGGAUUCACUGGGCGUAAAGGGUGCGUAGGUGGCAUAGAAAGUUUGAUGUGAAAGCUCAGGGCUUAACCCUGAAAUGGCAUUGAAUACUGCUGUGCUGGAGGUUUGGAAGGGGGACUGGAAUUCUUGGUGUAGCAGUGAAAUGCGUAGAUAUCAAGAGGAACACCAGUGGCGAAGGCGAGUCCCUGGACAACACCUGACACUGAGGCACGAAAGCUAGGGGAGCAAACAGG
rnacentral:rRNA from 1 species